rnacentral:rRNA from 1 species
AACUUUCAACAACGGAUCUCUUGGUUCUCGCAUCGAUGAANAACGCANCGAAAUGCGAUAAGUAGGGUGAAUUGCAGAAUUCAGUGAAUCAUCGAAUCUUUGAACGCACAUUGCGCCUCCUGGUAUUCCGGGAGGCAUGCCUGUUCGAGCGUCAUUAAAUACCACUCAAGCUCUUCUGCUUGGCUCAUGGAAGAAGAGAAUGCUUGCAUCCUCUCUUCUGAAAUCAAACGGCGGACUGCCUCAUGUGCCUCGCGUAGUAAGUUUAUCUUUUCGCUUGGAGUGUGAGAUAGUCUCGCCAUCAACCCCCAUACUUCUAAGGUUGACCUCGGAUCAGGUAGGGAUACCCGCUGAACU